GACGAACGCUGGCGGCGUGCCUAAUACAUGCAAGUAGAACGCUGAAGGAAGGAGCUUGCUCUUUCCGGAUGAGUUGCGAACGGGUGAGUAACGCGUAGGUAACCUGCCUGGUAGCGGGGGAUAACUAUUGGAAACGAUAGCUAAUACCGCAUAACAGUAGAUAUCGCAUGAUAUGUGCUUGAAAGGUGCAAUUGCACCACUACCAGAUGGACCUGCGUUGUAUUAGCUAGUUGGUGAGGUAACGGCUCACCAAGGCAACGAUACAUAGCCGACCUGAGAGGGUGAUCGGCCACACUGGGACUGAGACACGGCCCAGACUCCUACGGGAGGCAGCAGUAGGGAAUCUUCGGCAAUGGACGGAAGUCUGACCGAGCAACGCCGCGUGAGUGAAGAAGGUUUUCGGAUCGUAAAGCUCUGUUGUAAGAGAAGAACGAGUGUGAGAGUGGAAAGUUCACACUGUGACG
rnacentral:rRNA from 1 species